AUUGAACGCUGGCGGCAGGCCUAACACAUGCAAGUCGAACGGUAACAGGAAGCAGCUUGCUGCUUUGCUGACGAGUGGCGGACGGGUGAGUAAUGUCUGGGAAACUGCCCGAUGUAGGGGGAUAACUACUGGAAACGGUAGCUAAUACCGCAUAACGUCGCAAGACCAAAGAGGGGGACCUUAGGGCCUCUUGCCAUCGGAUGUGCCCAGAUGGGAUUAGCUAGUAGGUGGGGUAACGGCUCACCUAGGCGACGAUCCCUAGCUGGUCUGAGAGGAUGACCAGCCACACUGGAACUGAGACACGGUCCAGACUCCUACGGGAGGCAGCAGUGGGGAAUAUUGCACAAUGGGCGCAAGCCUGAUGCAGCCAUGCCGCGUGUAUGAAGAAGGCCUUCGGGUUGUAAAGUACUUUCAGCGGGGAGGAAGGGAGUAAAGUUAAUACCUUUGCUCAUUGACGUUACCCGCAGAAGAAGCACCGGCUAACUCCGUG
rnacentral:rRNA from 1 species